GACGAACGCUGGCGGCGUGCCUAAUACAUGCAAGUAGAACGCUGAAGAGAGGAGCUUGCUCUUCUUGGAAGAGUUGCGAACGGGUGAGUAACGCGUAGGUAACCUGCCUUGUAGCGGGGGAUAACUAUUGGAAACGAUAGCUAAUACCGCAUAACAAUGGCUGACACAUGUCAUUUAUUUGAAAGGGGCAGCUGCUCCACUACAAGAUGGACCUGCGUUGUAUUAGCUAGCAGGUGAGGUAACGCCUCACCUAGGCGACGAUACAUAGCCGACCUGAGAGGGUGAUCGGCCACACUGGGACUGAGACACGGCCCAGACUCCUACGGGAGGCAGCAGUAGGGAAUCUUCGGCAAUGGGGGCAACCCUGACCGAGCAACGCCGCGUGAGUGAAGAAGGUUUUCGGAUCGUAAAGCUCUGUUGUAAGUCAAGAACGAGUGUGAGAGUGGAAAGUUCACACUGUGACGGUAGCUUACCAGAAAGGGACGGCUAACUACGUGCCAGCCGCCGCCGUAA
rnacentral:rRNA from 1 species